rnacentral:lncRNA from 1 species
UUUUUUUUUUUUUUCUUUUUAGGGCCAUACCUGCAGCAUAUGGAAGUUCCGAUGCUAGGGGUCAAAUCAAAGCUGCAGCUGCCAGCCUAUGCCACAGCCACAGCAACAGAGGAUGUAAGCCAUGCCUGUGACCUACACUACAGCUCACAGCAAUACCAGAUCCCUGACCCAGUGAGCAAUACCAGGGAUCAAACCUACAUCCUCAUGGAUACUAGUCAGAUUGCUUUCCACUGUACCACAUUGGGAACUCCUCUUUAGUCUUAUUUUUUAAUUGGCCAUAACAGAGAAAUGACUGAAAGAAAAAUAUAAUAGUAUGUUGUGUGUUCAUAAUAUGUGUAAAAAUAAAAUACAUGACAAUAACAGCACAGAAUAUUAAAGGAAAGAAUUGAGAAUAUGCUAUUGAAAAUUUUAUGGAGUUCCUAUUGUGGCUCAUUGGGUUAAGGACAUGAUGUUGUCUCUGUGAGGAUGCAGGUAAAAUCACUGGUCUGGCUCAGUAGGUUAAGGAUCUGGCAUGCCUGCAAGUUGCGGCAUCAUUACAGAUGUAGCUUAGACCCCAUUCUGCCAUGGCUAUGGCAUAGGCACAGCUGCAGUUCCUAUUCAACUUAUGGCCUGGGAACUUCCAUAUACUGCAGGUAUGGCAAUAAAAAAAAAAUAGGAACACUUUAAAAAUUAAAAAUAAGGCAGGAAAAGAAGGAAAAAGAACAAAGAAUAACUGCUAAUGAAUUUAAAAAGCUAGGUGGAUAGUAGUCUUUAACCCAAAUAUAUCGAUUAUUAUAUUAAAUUGCCUAAAAACACCAAUUAAAUGUUAGAUUUUACAGUGGAUUAAAAAAAGCAAUAACAAGUACAUACUAUCCAUGGUAAAUCAACCUCAGUUAUAAAUAAUACGUUAAAAAACAAAAACAGAAAAAAGAUAUACCAUGUAAAUAAAAACCUAAAGAAAACUGAAGUAGCUGUAUUAAUAGCAGCAGAGAAAACAAUGGUACCCAGAGAAUAGAGAUAUAUUAAAUGAUGACAAAGGAGUCAAUACUUGGAGGGAAACUGAAUAUUCAUAUACCUAAUAACACAGCUACAAAAUAUAUGAGGCAAAAUCUGAUGAAACUGAAAGGAGAAAGAGACACAUCCAGAACUACAUUUGAAUACUUCAAUAUUUCUCUUUCAGCAAUUGCUAAAGCAGGUAGAUAUAAAACCAGUAAGGAUAUAGGAAAUCUGAAGAAUGCUAACAAUCAACUUUACCUGACAUUUCUAGAACAUUCCACCUAAUUAAAGCAGAAUACAUAUUCUUUCAAAUGUGCAUUGAACAUAAAAUUGACCAUGUUCUGCACUGUAAAACAAACCUCAGGAGUUCCUUUCAUGGCUCAGCAGUAACGAACCCAACUAGAAUCCAUGAGGAUGUGGGUUCAAUCCCUGGCCUUGCUCAAUGGGUUAAGGAUCUGGUGUUGCCAUGAGCUCUGUGUAGGUUGCAGAUGUGGCUCCAAUCCCAUGUUGUUGUACCUGUGGAGUAAGCUGGCAGGUGUAGCUCUGAUUUGAUUCCUAGCUUGUGAAUUUCCAUAUGCUGUGGGUGUGGCCCUUAAAAAAUAAAAUAAAACAGAUCUCAUCAAAUUUAAAGAACUGAAAUUAUUCAAAGUGUGCUUAGGCCCAAACAGAAUUAAGUAGAAAUCAGUAAGAGAAAACCAUCCAGAAAAAUCACAAGAGGUGUGGAAACUCAACAACUCACCUCUAAAUAUUAGGUAUUCCACUGUUACUAAAAAAGAGAAAAUGCAAUAUUGGGGCAACAGUCUUUUCUAGAUACAGAUAUAGAAAUAGAGUAAUUAUGCUGUCAGAGUAUCUCCAUGUUAGGUCAUGGAAAAAAAGAGUAUUUAAAGCAGUUGUUAUGGACUGAAUCUUGUGUCCCCCAAAAUUCACAUGUUGAAGUCAUCUGAUUUGGAGAUAGGAUCUUUGUGAGUUAAUAAGGUUUAAAAGAGGCCAUGAGUGUGGGGCCAACAGGGUGGGAUUAGGGUCCUCAUAGAAAGAGGAAGAAAGACCAGAGCUCUCCGUCUCUUACCAUUAUGUGAGGACUCAGCUAGAAAGCAGUUGGAUGCAAGUCACGAAACAAGUUCUAAUUGGGAAGUGAGUCAGCUGGCACCUUGACCUUGGACUUCCCAGCCUUCUGAACUGUGAGGAAUAAAUGUCUCUUGUUUCAGCUAUUAGCCUAUGGUAUUUUGUUAAAGCAGCCUGAUUUAACUAAGGAUGGCACGUCAUAUUACUGAGAGAGAGGGAACUGCCACCUCAGUUCUACUCAGUCCACCAAAUCAUAUGUGUAUAUCCUUUUAAAAAGGUGCUGGAGUUAUUAGCCUUUUUCUGCUCUUUCUGCUCAAUGGCUCUUUUACCAAGGUUUUGGCUCUCUAAUAUAUAUAUCCAUUCCUCUUCUGCCCCUUAGAGUGCUGACUCAGCCCUUUUUGGUGAGGCAAAGGAUCAGAAGAGCAACUGAAAAAUUAGGCUGCUCCAACUCAUUCAAUACACCACCUGGAAAAUGACUUCUGCCACCUCUCAAUGUUAGGAAUCCCUCGAUCAGAAGAGUCUACAAGGCUGACCAGUAGAGCAGACAAGGCAGUAUGAGGUCUUUAACAUUUACCUAGUUAAGUUAAUGCCAUACAAGGCACAUGGAGGCCAUUCAGUGCCAUCACUGAGCUCCAUAUAUCCAGUAAUUCUUAUACUUUUGUGAUUAUAAGUUCAGUACCAUUGGCACACUUUUGACUUAAUAUCUAAAUAUCUUGAUGAUCAAGCCAUCAAUUUCAUCUAAUCCUACUGAAUCAAUAGAUUCUUUUAUGAAAAUAAUAUGUACAAUAUUCCUACAUAUACUUGAGUACAUAGUUUUAACUUCUCUUUCCAAAACCUCUAACCAAAUUCACUUCAUUAUUGAUAUUUAACCUAAGAUUUGCUCAUUCUCCAGCACACUAUAUUUCCUUUCCAAUUGAUGCUGCCUAUCAUUUCUUUGCUAUUAAUUCUUUCUUUUUAAUUAGAUGGUAAGCUCUAUAAUGCCAUCGAUAGUCACUUUUUUUCCCUGCUCAUUUAUUCCUAGCACCUGGCACAUUGGCUCAGUAAAUAUCUGCUGCAGGAUACAUCCCACAGAUUUUUUAUUUUCUCUCCCUCUCUCUGUGUCUCUCUGUCUCUGUCUCUCUGUCUCUCUCUCACAUACACACACACACACACACACACACACACUCACAUGGGAGCUUCUGGCUUCUUUGCUAAUAUACAUGUACCAGGUUUUCUCUUGUAGCAUUUGACACAGUUAUCUCAUCAUAUUCAUCAGAUAUGCCAAUGCUUAUUAGCCUCGGGGCAAUGC